CGCGUAGGCGGGAUGGCAAGUCAGAUGUGAAAUCCAUGGGCUCAACCCAUGAACUGCAUUUGAAACUGUCGUUCUUGAGUAUCGGAGAGGCAAGCGGAAUUCCUAGUGUAGCGGUGAAAUGCGUAGAUAUUAGGAGGAGCACCAGUGGCGAAGGCGGCUUGCUGGACGACAACUGACGCUGAGGCGCGAAAGCGUGGGGAGCAAACA
rnacentral:rRNA from 1 species